rnacentral:rRNA from 1 species
CUACGGGAGGCUGCAGUGGGGAAUAUUGGGCAAUGGGCGCAAGCCUGACCCAGCAACGCCGCGUGAGGGAAGAAUGUCUUCGGAUUGUAAACCUCUGUCCUUAGGGACGAAAAAAAUGACGGUACCUAAGGAGGAAGCUCCGGCUAACUACGUGCCAGCAGCCGCGGUAAUACGUAGGGAGCAAGCGUUGUCCGGAAUUAUUGGGCGUAAAGGGUGCGUAGGCGGUAAUCCAAGUCAGAUGUGAAAGACCCGGGCUUAACUCGGGAGGUGCAUUUGAAACUGGGUUACUUGAGUACAGGAGAGGUAAGUGGAAUUCCUAGUGUAGCGGUGAAAUGCGUAGAUAUUAGGAGGAACACCAGUGGCGAAGGCGACUUACUGGACUGUCACUGGCGCUGAGGCACGAAAGCGUGGGGAGCAAACAGGAUUAGAUACCCUUGUAGUC